rnacentral:lncRNA from 1 species
UUUUUCCUCUUAUUCUUCUUCUCCUUCUUCUUCUUUUCUUCUUCUUCUCUUCUUCUUCUUCUUCUUCUUAUUCUUAUUUUCUUUUUUCUUUUUUCCUCUUAUUCUUCUUCUCCUUCUUCUUGUUUUCUUCUUCUCUUCUUCUUCUUAUUAUUAUUAUUAUUAUUUUCUUUUUUCCUCUUAUUCUUCUCUUCCUCUCCUAUUUUUCUUCUUCUUCUUCUUCUUCUUUCUUCUCCUUCCCUUC